GAUGAACGCUGGCGGCGUGCUUAAUACAUGCAAGUCGAACGGAGGUAUGUAGCAAUACGUAUCUUAGUGGCGAACGGGUGAGUAACGCGUUGGUGACCUACCCCAGAGAGGGGGAUAACAGCUCGAAAGGGCUGCUAAUACCCCAUGCCGUCAUGGCGUUUAGAAAGCCAUGACGAAAGGUGCAAAUCGCUCUGGGAGGGGCCUGCGUCCCAUCAGCUAGUUGGUAGGGUAAUGGCCUACCAAGGCGACGACGGGUAGGGGGCCUGAGAGGGUGAUCCCCCACACUGGCACUGAAACACGGGCCGGACACCUACGGGUGGCAGCAGUAGGGAAUAUUGCACAAUGGGCGAAAGCCUGAUGCAGCAACGCCGCGUGCGCGAUGAAGGCCUUCGGGUCGUAAAGCGCUUUUCGGGGAGAUGAGGAAGGACAGUAUCCUCGGAGGAAGGAUCGGCUAACUACGUGCCAGCCGCCGCCGUAAGAC
rnacentral:rRNA from 1 species